rnacentral:lncRNA from 1 species
GACUGUUCUUCCGAAGGUCAGUGAGAUGGCUCAGUGGGUAAGAGCACCCGACUGUUCUUCCGAAGGUCAGGAGUUCAAAUCCCAGCAACCACAUGGUGGCUCACAACCAUCCGUAAUGAGAUCUGACUCCCUCUUCUGGAGUGUCUGAGGACAGCUACAGUGUACUUACAUAUAAUAAAUAAAUAAAUAAAUAAAUAAAUAAAUAAAUCUUAAAAAAAAAAAAAGCUACACGUGCCCUUAACCACUGAGCAAUCUCUUCAUUGUAUGGAUACUAUUUCAUGAAGGUUCAUUCAUUCAUUCAUUUAUUCAUUCAUGUGUAUGGAUAUCUGUGGAUGAGUAUACAUACCUACGUGUAUGGGGAUGUUGUAUCCACGCACACACACGGAGGCUAGAAAAAAGUAUCGAAUAGCCUCUUCUAUUGUAUUCUUCCUAAUCCUUUGCGGCAGAUCUCUCCUUGAACCUCCUUUCCUCAGAUAAGCUGGAAGCCAGCUAGACUUAGGAUCUCUGUGGCUCUGCUCCCCAUGCCAUCUUGGUUUCUUGAGUGUGCCCAUCCAGUGUGUUAUGUGAACACUCUAGGAUUUGUAGACUAAUCCUCACCUUUGCACAGCAAGGACUCUUAACUGCUGAGCCAUCUCUGUAGCACCUGAAUAGCAUUUUUAAAAAUCCUAAAUUCAUGAGUGAUAUUUACUGGUGUGAUUCAUUGAUAUUUGAUGUAAUGUUAUUAAAAUGUCAAUUCU